GGAAAGCUGCCUGAAGAGGACCACAGAGAUUGGGAUGAGACGUAUCAAGCCCAGGGGCAGCAAAGCUCUCCAGCAGGCAGGGAGAGUGGGACAGAUCCCCCUGCAGCCUCAGGAGCCAGCCCUGCCUGCACCUUGGCCUCAGGCUUUGGGCCUCCAGGGGCGUGGACAGUAAGUUCCUGCUGGUGAGUCCUCCCUUCUGUGGAGACUCCCACAGAGCUAAAGGAAUCAGGUCAAUGAGGACAGCACCAAUCAUGUCCUCCAAGGACGUGGGGCUGGAGCAGAAAGAGAGGGGCCUGAACACCAUCCCCUACCUGGGAAGUGCAGGAGAGAGGCAGAAGACUCGGAAGGUACCUAAGAGAAACACCACUGCCCCUCAGAUCUGAAGGGGACAUUCGAAGCAGUAGUGAGGACCAUGGCUGUCCUCUGCUGGGCUUCCAAAGUGCCAACAUGCCCACCUAUCUCUCCAGCCUUCACCUCCCCACCUGUCCCAGCGCCCUGUGUGUGCUCAGGACCCCUGGAGAUGCUGGGAAGAGCACCCCACACUGUAAUGGGCAGAGCCAGCCACACAAGAAGCCCCCAAUCCCAUGGCUGGAACCCUGAGAAAACGGCACACCCCUCUCGGACACAGGUCCCCACCAACUGGAUUCUCCUGACCUGGCAUCAUCACGUGGGCACCAGGAGUGCUGACCUGGAGUGCGUGCCCACAUGCUUCUUGCUCCUGAGUGGCCAACGAGAGAACAAGUACAGGCUCUACAGAAAAAGUAUUGGUUCCAUGACUCUUGGAGCUCCUGGGUAUAAUUCAUUCUCAUUAACAGGUGGGCCAUCUCUGAGGCAGUGUGAUGAACCUUAGGGACCUCCCACCCCUGACAAGCAGGUGCUACCAAGUGACAGGAGGCAGGGGCUGGGUUUGCCCUGGGAACAGGGCCAUCCUCACACUGUGACACCUGCCAUGGGCUCCACAUCCUCACCUCCUGACCCAGAGGUCACUACAGGAAGCGACAUGGAGGUGGCUCCCCCGGGGAGGCCUGGUCCCGGGUGGCUCUAUACCUGCAGGGAGCGAUGCUGGCCCAGGACCUAGGUCAUGCUGACAUGCAACAUGGGAAGAGCCACCUACACCUCUCGGCCCUGAGGGAACUACAAUUGCAGAUUCUAGUGUUCCGGGGAAAACAACGCUCCCUGAUGUUACCUACAAUCUGCAAAGCUAGAAACCACAAAGACUCACCCCGGUAAGAACAAGCAAACUGGCAUGUCCUCCCCUGAGCUACUUUUCCAAAUUUCCACUAAAUGUGUGACUGAAUUCAAAUGAGCCUGAGGAUCUGUGAAAGUUUAUACUCAGAAGCACAAGUAUGGCUUUGCUGUCCAGCCUGUCCAUGUUUUAAGGGCCUUAAAAUACAAGCCAUAGAGAAACUGACUGUGUGUGUUUAAUACAGAUUUCCCCCAAAUUAGCAGCUGGUCUUUCA
rnacentral:lncRNA from 1 species